GUUUCCUUUCCUGAAAGCAAUUUGAUUCUCUGUUCGCUUUCCUGUGUAUGUGUUUACCAUUUUACUUCUCUCUCUGUCUUCCUGACUUCAGGGGUGGGAGAUGGGGUGACAUUUCCAAUUUGCAGGGUUUUCUUCCAUCUUCAUCCAACUCUCAGGAUGAUUACGAGGAUUUGGUUGUUGAGGAGUGGUGAACACCUAUGUGCAAUUUGAAUAACUAUUAGCCCUGCGAACGUCUAGCGAAGCAUGUGACCAAGAAGUUCAGGACCAGGGUUCAUGACUGGAGCCCCUUGGUAAGUGCGCCCUUUCUAAACGUUAUAUGUGAUGUGAUUACAGCAGCAUGAUGUUCUUUUGUGUCGAGGGUGGGUUUGAGGCACCGCAGACAGCCCAGGACGUUGAGUUCAUCGACUGAACUGAAACAACAGGCUGAAAUCGUCCCUGGUUCCUCCCUCCUGCAAAUGACUUUCAGAUUUGUCGCAGCUGCCUGUGUUCUCAGCGCUCUCCUGGCUCCGUGCGGUCCCUGAAGAGGCCAUUGCACAUCUUGCCGCACACGUCCUGUAGCCCUACCUUUGUGCAGUCUUCCCUCCUCAGUAAAAUGUUCUCAGCGCACAAAAGCAGCCGCUGAAGGGAACAGCUCCGGGCAGAGUGGGAGGGAGCUUGCCGGCUGCAGCGCGGCUGCACCAUCUCCAGUGGAAACGGACGCUGCUCACCCUGCGUAGGAAACUAAUGGAGCGUCCCUAAGAAACCCAAACUCCAGCCUGGCUCACCCCAGCUUUCUCCCCCACCUCCAGACCCCCAGGUGUAAGUCCCCCUGCUACACAAAAGAAAAGAUGACCACAGCCACCUCUUUCCGCCUGCAAACUCCACAGAGCGCUGCUUUUAGGAUGAAGGGGAGAUACUUCCUCUUCAUCUCAGGUCCAGUGCGGAGGACUUCCAGGGCACCAUCUGGAGAGCUUUGAUGUGUGUGGCCUGGAAUCUGAUUCUGAUAUCGGAAAUCUAGAGGGACAUCAAAACUUCAGCUCAGCAGAGGGAAGAGGAAGGAGGAAAAAAGAAGCCCAAGGCAGUGAAUUGGAGAAGCCAAUCAGCCCCUUUCUCAUUGUAGGCUUUCAGCCUGAAGCAGAAGCAAGCUGAGAGGGGAGGAGAUUUACUGCUAAGUCAAGCCCAGAGUUAUAAUUAUUAUACUGAAUUGAACAUUUUAGUUUCUGAAUCAGUCUGUUUUUCAUCCAGGCACAGGGAAACAUUACUACUGCUAAAUAAAGCCUAAUGGAACAGUG
rnacentral:lncRNA from 1 species